GUAGGUGGCAAGCGUUGUCCGGAAUUAUUGGGCGUAAAGCGCGCGCAGGCGGUCCUUUAAGUCUGAUGUGAAAGCCCACGGCUCAACCGUGGAGGGUCAUUGGAAACUGGGGGACUUGAGUACAGAAGAGGAAAGCGGAAUUCCAAGUGUAGCGGUGAAAUGCGUAGAGAUUUGGAGGAACACCAGUGGCGAAGGCGGCUUUCUGGUCUGUAACUGACGCUGAGGCGCGAAAGCGUGGGGAGCAAACAGGAUUAGAUACCCUGGUAGUCAACGCCGUAAACGAUGAGUGCUAAGUGUUAGGGGGUUUCCCGCCCCCCUUAGUGCUGCAGCUAACGCAUUAAGCACUCCGCCUGGGGAGUACGGCCGCAAGGCUG
rnacentral:rRNA from 1 species